UACUAAGUGAAAGUAAAAGUAUGAGAAAGUGGGGUGAAAAGUAUCCAGUUAUUGUUCUGGCACACCGUUGGACGUACUCCUCAACGUAUUUCUGAUAUGUACAAUAUCAAGAUGCAAGUGUGGUCAAGCUCUGGAGGGUGAAGUUGCUCUGACACUGCAGACGCUGACCAACCCUGUUUUAAUAACAGAUGGAUGGAUGUUGGACAGCUGGGAAGAACAUUACAACCGCGCUCUGCAGUGACGGGCCUGGAUUGCCCUUCCAUGCCCUGAGUCUGUUGUGCCUGACGCCAAACUACCUUCACCAAGCACGGCACUGUGACCCUGUACUAUACUGCAGUAGAAGCCUUCCAAGCCACCAAGUCUUUCUUUCAAUGAGUUCGCUCGGUGGGGAACAACAAUGCAUCAAAUGAAAAAGAGACAUGGAUCUACCUUCACAAUGUGCUAAAUGAGGAGAUUUCCAGCUGUUUUUUAUCUUCUAAACAAUGGCCAUUUUGUUCUUAGUCGAAGAUUUUUGCAUUAAUGAGUAGAGUACAUUCAAUGGCAGCCAUAACAAAAAAAAGGUAAUUAGAUAUUAAUUCAUAAUGCAUAUUUCAUGUACAUAUUUUGGCAUGUUUUAAUGUGCUUCAGGUGAAAAUAUGGAAUCUCUUAAAAAUAAUGUUAUUUAAUAAUGUUGUCUUUAACUUGUGCUCCAAGUUGUGUUGAAUUGUUGUAAAUAUACAUGAUUUAUAAAUAAAUAAACAAAUGUUUUAUCA
rnacentral:lncRNA from 1 species